UACAGAGGGUGCUAGCGUUGUUCGGAAUGACUGGGCGUAAAGGGCGCGUAGGCGGCUUUUUAAGUCAGGCGUGAAAGCCCCGGGCUCAACCUGGGAAUAGCGUUUGAUACUGGAAGGCUUGAGUGCGGAAGAGGAGAGUGGAAUUCCUAGUGUAGAAGUGAAAUUCGUAGAUAUUAGGAGGAACACCGGAGGCGAAGGCGGCUCUCUGGUCCGCAACUGACGCUGAGGCGCGAAAGCGUGGGGAGCAAACAGGAUUAGAUACCCUGGUAGUCCACGCUGUAAACGAUGAGUGCUAGACGUUGGGUGUAAAAGCUCAGUGUCGCAGCUAACGCAUUAAGCACUCCGCCUGGGGAGUACGGUCGCAAGAUUAAA
rnacentral:rRNA from 1 species